UACAGAGGUCCCAAGCGUUACUGAGAAUCACUGGGUUUAAAGGGUGCGUAGGUGGUCCGUUAAGUCAGUUGUGAAAUCCCCGGGCUCAACCCGGGAACUGCUUCUGAUACUGGCGGACUUGAAUCCGGGAGAGGGAUGCGGAAUUCCAGGUGUAGCGGUGAAAUGCGUAGAUAUCGGGAGGAACACCUGUGGCGAAAGCGGCGCACUGGACCACAACUGACGCUGAGGCGCGAAAGCUAGGGGAGCAAACAGG
rnacentral:rRNA from 1 species